rnacentral:rRNA from 1 species
GAUGAACGCUGGCGGCGCGCCUAAUACAUGCAAGUCGUACGGAAGGGCCCUUCGGGGUACUCGAGUGGCGGACGGCUGGGUAACGCGUGGGAACGUGCCCCAAAGUGAGGGAUAACGCACCGAAAGGUGUGCUAAUACCGCAUAUGGUCUUCGGAUUAAAGCUUCGGCGCUUUGGGAGCGGCCCGCGUACGAUUAGAUAGUUGGUGAGGUAAUGGCUCACCAAGUCGACGAUCGUUAGCUGGUCUGAGAGGAUGAUCAGCUAGACUGGGACUGAGACACGGCCCAGACUCCUACGGGAGGCAGCAGUAAGGAACCUUCCACAAUGGGGGCAACCCUGAUGGAGCAACGCCGCGUGCAGGAUGAAGGUUUUCGGAUCGUAAACUGCUUUUAUAAGUGAAGAAUAUGACGGUAACUUAUGAAUAAGGAUCGGCUAACUACGUGCCAGCCGCCGCGGUAA